AUUGAACGCUGGCGGCAGGCCUAACACAUGCAAGUCGAACGAGUGGCGGACGGGUGAGUAAUGCUUGGGAAUCUAGCUUAUGGAGGGGGAUAACUACGGGAAACUGUAGCUAAUACCGCGUACCAUAGGAUGAGCCCAAGGGGGAUUAGGUAGUUGGUGAGGUAAAGGCUAACAAAGCCGACGAGCUCUAGCUGGUCUGAGAGGAUGACCAGCCACACUCGAACUGAGACACGGCCCAGACUCCUACGGGAGGCAGCAGUGGGGAAUAUUGCACAAUGGGCGCAAGCCUGAUGCAGCCAUGCCGCGUGUAUGAAGAAGGCCUUCGGGUUGUAAAGUACUUUCAGUCAGGAGGCGUUACCCACAGAAGAAGCACCGGCUAACUCCGUGCCAGCAGCCGCGGUAAUAC
rnacentral:rRNA from 1 species